UACGUAGGGUGCAAGCGUUGUCCGGAAUUAUUGGGCGUAAAGAGCUCGUAGGCGGUCUGUCGCGUCGGCUGUGAAAACCCGGGGCUCAACCCCGGGCCUGCAGUCGAUACGGGCAGACUAGAGUGCGGUAGGGGGAGACUGGAAUUCCUGGUGUAGCGGUGGAAUGCGCAGAUAUCAGGAAGAACACCGGUGGCGAAGGCGGCUCUCUGGGCCUUACCUGACGCUGAGGAGCGAAAGCGUGGGGAGCGAACAGG
rnacentral:rRNA from 1 species